UACGUAGGGGGCAAGCGUUGUCCGGAAUUAUUGGGCGUAAAGAGCUCGUAGGCGGUCUGUCGCGUCGGCUGUGAAAUCCCGAGGCUCAACCUCGGGUCUGCAGUCGAUACGGGCAAACUGGAGUACUGCAGGGGAGACUGGAAUUCCUGGUGUAGCGGUGAAAUGCGCAGAUAUCAGGAGGAACACCGGUGGCGAAGGCGGGUCUCUGGGCCGAUACUGACGCUGAGGAGCGAAAGCGUGGGGAGCAAACAGG
rnacentral:rRNA from 1 species